AGCCCGAGUAAACGGCGGCCGUAACUAUAACGGUCCUAAGGUAGCGAAAUUCCUUGUCGGUUAAAUACCGACCUGCAUGAAUGGCGUAACGAGAUGGGAGCUGUCUCAACCAGAGAUUCAGUGAAAUUGUAGUGGAGGUGAAAAUUCCUCCUACCCGCGGCAAGACGGAAAGACCCCGUGGACC
rnacentral:rRNA from 1 species